rnacentral:rRNA from 1 species
GUCCACGCCCUAAACUAUGUCGACUGGUUGUUGGGGAUUUGACAUCCUUAGUAACGAAGCUAACGCGUGAAGUCGACCGCCUGGGGAGUACGGCCGCAAGGUUAAAACUCAAAGGAAUUGACGGGGACCCGCACAAGCGGUGGAUUAUGUGGAUUAAUUCGAUGCAACGCGAAAAACCUUACCUACCCUUGACAUGCCAGGAAGGCUCCAGAGAUGGGGCUGUGCCCGAAAGGGAACCUGGACACAGGUGCUGCAUGGCUGUCGU